AACUUGAGAGUUUGAUCCUGGCUCAGAACGAACGCUGGCGGCAUGCUUCACACAUGCAAGUCGAACGAAGGCCCGGGGCUUGCCCCGGUCACCUUAGUGGCGGACGGGUGAGUAACGCGUGGGAACCUGCCCAGGAGCGGGGAAUAACCAUUGGAAACGAUGGCUAAUACCGCAUACGUCCUCCGGGGGAAAGGCUUCGGCCACUCUUGGAUGGUCCCGCGUCUGAUUAGCUUGUUGGUGAGGUAACGGCUCACCAAGGCGACGAUCAGUAGCUGGUCUGAGAGGAUGAUCAGCCACACUGGGACUGAGACACGGCCCAGACUCCUACGGGAGGCAGCAGUGGGG
rnacentral:rRNA from 1 species